GGCACGGUGGCGCAGUGUUUAGCACUAGUGCUUCAUAAUAAGGAGAUCCCAGGUUCGAGUUCUGGUUGGCCA